AGCCCAGAAGAGAACCGAAGAUCUAUUUCUCUUAGGAAAGCCGAUAGUGAGCACUAAGCUAAGCUGAGAAUCUUGGGUUCACAUCCUAAGCACUGUCUACUGCAAAACAGAGGAAACCAUUCUUGAAAAGUAUGAAGCUGAACGACAGUUAAAUUUCAUAGACAUCCCACAGUGUGUUGCAAUUUUAUGAAGAAUGGAGAUCUAGCACUGAGAACAGCAUUAAGUCAUCAAACAUAUGUAUAAAACAACAGCAAGGGAGAUCCCAAAAUCAUCACAGAACAAAAAAGGAGUUCUAUGUGAUGUCCAAAUGGCCUCAAUCAGAGGAAGGGCUGAUUGACACAGGUAUUUUGUGGAUCAGGAGAAAGAGAAUGCUUUCACAGCCUGUAGAGUGUUAUGAACUGUUGCAUGCCCACUCUGAACAGAAAAUGUAAAGCAAGGUGCAGGAAAUAACAUUUAACUUGUAAAAUAUUUUGACCACAGUUCCACCAGAAUUUGUCAUCUCUAAGUCUCUGAAUGUGUGGUGAAUAAAUCACCUCGACAGAUUGGAAAGUGUUUUAAAGAAUGUUACCAGUGUUAAAGUUUGUGUGUUAAGAAAUAAUCAGAGUAAGUAGCAUGGAAAAUCCAAAGAAACUUUCAUUUAAGCAAUUGAGAUGAGACAUGGCAAAUGUUUGUCAGAGAAAUAUUUGUCCUUUUUAUAUAUUAUCACAAAACCAUAGAAUGGUUUGGGUUGGAAAGGACCUUAAGAUCAUCUAGUUGCACCAGGGCUGCAUCAAGUUGCCAGGGCUGCUCACACUAGACCAUGUUGCCAAAGGCUCUGUCCAACCUGGCCUUCCACAGUCAAUUCUACAGACAUUUGUUUCCCAGUCCUUUGACUGAUAGAUCAUUUAAGAAACACACUUUUAACAAUAAUGUUUUCAAUUAGGACUCAAAUUAGGUUAUCCCAGGGUAUCCUUCCUUUGAUUCCUUCAUGUAAUUAAAAAUAGACCUAACUUUAAUCUCUUUGACUGGAAAUAAACAAUGUGUCAGUUAUAAUUUGAAAUGCUAGAGUGAUUUGAACCAUGACCGGGGAAGGAAAAUCCACAUUCUUCUACAAAGAUUCCAGAUACCAUGAGUAAACCAGAGUCUCAGUCUAUGGGAAAUCUAUGGUACAAUGCUGAACCCAUGACAAAUGCGCAACAAAAUUAAUUGAAU